rnacentral:miRNA from 1 species
UAGCUGCUGUGUGUGUGGCCAUACA